rnacentral:misc_RNA from 1 species
AACGCACCUUGCGCUCCUUGGUAUUCCGAGGAGCAUGCCUGUUUGAGUGUCAUGAAAUCUUCAACCUACGAGCUUUUGUGGUUUGUAGGCUUGGACUUGGAGGCUUGUCGGCCGUUCUUGGUCGGCUUCUCUUAAAUGCAUUAGCUUGGUUCCUUGCGGAUCGGCUCUCGGUGUGAUAAUGUCUACGCUGUGACCGUGAAGCGUUUGGCGAGCUUCUAACCGUCUCUUUGAGACAGCUUUAUGACCUCUGACCUCAAAUCAGGUAGGACUACCCGCUGAACUUAA